AGUGAACGCUGGCGGUAGGCCUAACACAUGCAAGUCGAACGGCAGCACAGUAAGAGCUUGCUCUUACGGGUGGCGAGUGGCGGACGGGUGAGGAAUACAUCGGAAUCUACUUUUUCGUGGGGGAUAACGUAGGGAAACUUACGCUAAUACCGCAUACGACCUACGGGUGAAAGCAGGGGAUCUUCGGACCUUGCGCGAUUGAAUGAGCCGAUGUCGGAUUAGCUAGUUGGCGGGGUAAAGGCCCACCAAGGCGGCGAUCCGUAGCUGGACUGAGAGGAUGAUCGGCGACCCGGGAACUGGGCCAGGGUCCAGACUACUACGGGAGGCAGCAGUGGGGAAUAUUGGACAAUGGGCGCAAGCCUGAUCCAGCCAUACCGCGUGGGUGAAGAAGGCCUUCGGGUUGUAAAGCCCUUUUGUUGGGAAAGAAAAGCAGCAGGUUAAUACCCCGCUGUUCUGACGGUACCCAAAGAAUAAGCACCGGCUAACUUCGUG
rnacentral:rRNA from 1 species